CUCAGAGAGGAGGAGGACCACGACGCAAAGGGAUAGUCCUCAAUCUCUCACCUUGUUUCUGGCAGCUAAUCACAUCCAUACAAACUGAGAGGAAAAGCGGUGUAUGUUUUGAAAUAUUCGCUAUCAUCGGUUGACAGCGCUCUCGGUCGGAGGAUUCAUCCCAGGAUAUUGAAUGGAAGCGGCGGAUGAAGGGGCGGCCAGCCUGUCUGAGGCCGGGGAUGGGAGUCCGUUAUCCGGGGCAGCAGCAUCCGAGGACUCGGGCACGGCGGAUGGCAUGGACUCGGAUUCUACAUCGAAAAAGGCUUUCAUAACAGAGAUGCCUUCAUCGUCAGGCCAGCCGGCCCAUGGGAAGAAGAUCGGACACAGAGGUGUGGAUGCUUCUGGAGAAACCACAUAUAAGAAGACCACAUCUUCAGCACUCAAGGGGGCCAUUCAGCUAGGGAUUGGCUACACGGUUGGCAACUUGAGUUCCAAGCCUGAACGGGACGUCCUCAUGCAGGAUUUCUAUGUGGUGGAGAGCAUUUUCUUCCCCAGUGAAGGGAGCAACUUGACACCAGCCCAUCAUUUCCCAGACUUCCGUUUCAAAACCUAUGCUCCUGUCGCCUUCCGUUACUUCAGAGAGCUCUUCGGGAUACGGCCGGAUGACUAUUUGUAUUCGCUCUGUAACGAACCACUGAUCGAGUUGUCCAAUCCGGGAGCCAGUGGCUCAGUCUUCUACGUCACCAAGGACGAUGAGUUCAUCAUUAAGACAGUCAUGCACAAGGAGGCGGAGUUUUUGCAGAAGCUUCUUCCUGGAUAUUACAUGAACUUGAAUCAGAAUCCUCGCACCUUAUUGCCCAAGUUCUUCGGGCUGUACUGCGUACAAUCGGGCGGGAAGAACAUUCGGAUGGUGGUCAUGAACAACGUUUUGCCCAGGGUGGUGCGCAUGCACCUCAAAUACGACCUGAAGGGAUCCACCUACAAGCGACGGGCCUCUAAAAAAGAGCGGGAAAAGGCGAGGCCCACUUUCAAAGACCUUGAUUUCAUGCAGGACAUACCAGACGGUCUCAUGCUGGAUACAGACACGUACAAUGCCCUGGUCAAGACGUUACAGAGAGACUGUUUGGUCUUGGAAAGCUUUAAGAUUAUGGAUUAUAGUUUGCUGCUGGGAGUUCACAACAUUGAUCAGGCGGAGAAAGAGCAGCAGGUGGAGGGAUCUCAGGGCAACAGUGAUGAAAAGAGGCCGCUGGCACAGAAAGCACUCUACUCCACUGCCAUGGAGUCCAUACAGGGAGCGUCGGCCUGUGGAGAGGAGAUUGACACCGAGGACACGAUGGGUGGUAUUCCUGCAGUCAAUGGAAAAGGAGAGCGUCUGUUACUCUACAUUGGAAUAAUCGACAUCUUGCAGUCUUACAGGUUAAUAAAGAAAUUGGAGCAUACGUGGAAGGCUCUAGUCCAUGAUGGGGACACAGUGUCUGUUCACAGACCGUCUUUCUAUGCGGACAGGUUCUUCAGGUUCAUGAGCACUACUGUAUUCAGAAAGACUUCCUCACUGAAAUCCUCUCCGUCAAAGAGGGGUCGUGGGGGUCUGGCUGCGGCCAAGUACAGCGGUCCCGGAGCAGCCUGGUCGGCCAGCCAGCUGCCAUUUGUGAGAGACGAUAACAUCUACGACCUGAGAGGAACCCGAAGCUUCCCCACACUGGAAGAUGAUGGUCGGACGGAUGUGCUUCCCUGCACCCCUCCCUCGUUCGAGGAGGCCACUACAGCCUCCAUCGCCACCACGCUUUCCUCCACCACCUCCCUGUCCAUACCAGAACGCUCCCCAUCAGACACCUCCGAACACCCGCGCUACAGGAGACACACCCAGUCCAGCCAUGAAGAAACAAUGCAGGAUGAGGACCAGCAGACCAUCACAGUGGAGGUGGAAGUGGAGGGACGAUACCACAGCGAACCCAACCUUGUGGCUCCCCAGGUAUCGCCGGAGAUCAGUGAAGCUGCAGAGACGUUUCUAGAAGCCUCAUCCUCCUCUGUCCCGGCGAGCCCCAGGAUAGUGAUAGAAUCUGACGGCGGCAGUCAGGCCUCGGGCUGUACAAGCCGUGCCUCUGUGGACGAGGAUGAUGAUGUGCCAAUUACAGACAUUUAUUUUUUCUCUGAUGGCAGCGUCUGUGUUUGUCAGCCCGUCACACACAGAAGAAGGCACAUUCCUCCAGAAGACAAAGGCUGGGUAUAUUCUCCUCUGCACUUCAACUCAGGGCCUAAAACCCUGGCAGAGGAUGAAGAGGAGAGUGAAACAUAAUCAGACCUCGGGAAAGAGGGGCAGCUACAAGGUUUGAACUCUUCAGAUGUCCUCAUAAUGUCCGGAAGCUCUAUUGAUUUUCCACAGAUCCUCACAUUUUCCCACCAAAAUCAGUACGAAGUCAUCAGGGCCUGGUUAUUAAGAGACAUGUUAAACUGAAAGAUGGGACCAAACGUAUUGUGUGGGAGGCCAAAUCUUUAAAACAAAAUCACAAUCAUUUCACUAUCAGAAAUAUUUGUUAAAAAAAAAAAACGUUUAAUUGUAAAUCCAAAUGUAUAGAAUUUGUGUGUGUGCCUAUGCAUUGAGUGUGUUUGUGGUUUUGAGUAAGCGAGUCUCAUUUUAUGAUGGAAGUGUGCGACACUGAUUCUUAUAAUGUGCAGUGGCCAGUUGCUAUUGAUAUUGCUGUUGUAUCUAAAAUAAAGGGACUACUGCAGCAAUACAUUUGUAAAGUGUAGCACAUGCAUAUUUUGGUUGCCUUAAUUCUUUUUUGCCAACCUAAUUCCUAUUGUAGUUAUAAAAUAUUCACUGAUUCAGUCUUUCUUUUCUGGUUCACCAAUGAUAGUGAGAAUUUGUAUAUAGAUCUUUAAAUACAUAUAAAGUAUAUUUUAAAUGUUAUUUGAAGUUUUCUUUUGUAUUUUAUUUUGCACAAGUGGCUUGCAAAAGGUGUCCUAGGUCCACACGAACCCACCCAUUCUUCCAGCAUCGAGGACAUUUCCUUGCGUUUGAGUCUAGGAUGUUUCUUUGUGUACACUUUACAGUUUGGAUUGU